CCUACGGGUGGCAGCAGUGGGGAAUAUUGGACAAUGGGCGAAAGCCUGAUCCAGCCAUGCCGCGUGUGUGAAGAAGGCCUUCGGGUUGUAAAGCACUUUCAGUGGGGAAGAAAGCCUUGGGGCUAAUACCCUCGAGGAAGGACAUCACCCACAGAAGAAGCACCGGCUAACUCCGUGCCAGCAGCCGCGGUAAUACGGAGGGUGCGAGCGUUAAUCGGAAUUACUGGGCGUAAAGCGCGCGUAGGCGGUCUGAUAAGCCGGUUGUGAAAGCCCCGGGCUCAACCUGGGAACGGCAUCCGGAACUGUCAGGCUAGAGUGCAGGAGAGGAAGGUAGAAUUCCCGGUGUAGCGGUGAAAUGCGUAGAGAUCGGGAGGAAUACCAGUGGCGAAGGCGGCCUUCUGGACUGACACUGACGCUGAGGUGCGAAAGCGUGGGUAGCAAACAGGAUUAGGUACCCCGGUAGUC
rnacentral:rRNA from 1 species